rnacentral:rRNA from 1 species
UGGGGAAUUUUGGACAAUGGGGGCAACCCUGAUCCCAGCAAUGCCGCGUGUGUGAAGAAGGCCUUCGGGUUGUAAAGCACUUUUGUCCGGAAAGAAAUCGCCCUGGCUAAUAUCCGGGGUGGAUGACGGUACUGGAAGAAUAAGCACCGGCUAACUACGUGCCAGCAGCCGCGGUAAUACGUAGGGUGCGAGCGUUAAUCGGAAUUACUGGGCGUAAAGCGUGCGCAGGCGGUUGUGCAAGACAGAUGUGAAAUCCCCCGGGCUUAAACCUGGGAAUGGCAUUUGUGACUGCACGGCUAGAGUGUGUCAGAGGGGGGUAGAAUUCCACGUNUAGGCAGUGAAAUGCGUAGAUAUGUGGAGGAACACCG